rnacentral:tRNA from 1 species
UGGUGAUUAGUUUAACAAAAACAAAUGAUUUCGACUCAUUAAAUUAUGGUAUAACCAUAAUCACCAU